rnacentral:rRNA from 1 species
UACGUAGGGGGCUAGCGUUGUCCGGAAUCAUUGGGCGUAAAGCGCGCGUAGGCGGCCAGAUUAGUCCGGUGUGAAAGUCAGAGGCUCAACCUUUGAAUGCCGCUGGAAACUGUCUGGCUAGAGUCCGGGAGGGGCGAGUGGAAUUCCUGGUGUAGCGGUGAAAUGCGCAGAUAUCAGGAGGAACACCGGUGGCGAAGGCGGAUCUCUGGGCCUUGCCUGACGCUGAGGCGCGAAAGCUAGGGGGAGCAAACGGG